UAGCGAAGGGGGCUAGCGUUGCUCGGAAUCACUGGGCGUAAAGCGCACGUAGGCGGCUUGUUAAAGUCAGGGGUGAAAUCCUGGAGCUCAACUCCAGAACUGCCUUUGAUACUGGCGAGCUCGGAGUCCGGGAGAGGUGAGUGGAACUGCGAGUGUAGAGGUGAAAUUCGUAGAUAUUCGCAAGAACACCAGUGGCGAAGGCGGCUCACUGGCCCGGUACUGACGCUGAGGUGCGAAAGCGUGGGGAGCAAACAGG
rnacentral:rRNA from 1 species